GACGAACCGUGCAAACGUUGUUCGGAAUCACUGGGCUUAAAGGGCGCGUAGGCGGGCAGGCAAGUCGAAGGUGAAAUCCCACGGCUCAACCGUGGAAGUGCCCCCGAUACUGCCUGUCUCGAGGGAGGUAGGGGCGUGCGGAACUUCCGGUGGAGCGGUGAAAUGCGUAGAUAUCUGGAGGAACACCGGUGGCGAAGGCGGCAUCCUGGACCAACACUGACGCUGAGUGAGCGAAAGCCAGGGGAGCAAACGGG
rnacentral:rRNA from 1 species